rnacentral:lncRNA from 1 species
ACAUGUCAUCUUGUAGACUAAUUUCAGUCUGUGAAGCUGUGCUAGUUUACAAAUCUUUGAAAUUUGAUCUCAAUUUCAGUUGCAAAGACCUAAAUUGGAUUAGAACAGCUUGCCUGUCUUCUUCAGGAAUCCUCAGGGACCAGUGACCAUUCAGUCUUUUAACAGUAAGGUGGACGGUAGCCCAUGUGCUCAGCCUUGGUGGGUUACAUCUGGUUUGGAAACUUCCUGUUGUGUGUAACACACAGACUGUGCAUCCGUAGCUGUUUCCCCUUCAUAUUUCCCCAGAAUUGUCACCUUCUAGAGCAUGUGUCUUCCCAGUGCAUUCCAGGAAUUCUCUAUUUAUGCCACCACGAUGUUGCUUAGAAAACAACAGAGCUUUCAGUCAGUUCAGAAGUCUGGUUGCUGUCACUGCACCUGCCUCAGAUCCAGUGUCACCUCACCAGGGCUUCAGCCAGCCUGGCCUUCCAGCUGCCACCCAGCAGCUCAGCUCAGCAACUCAGAACCUUCUGGCCCAGACCUUCGUACCCAACUCCUGCCCAGGGGCAAAUGCAGAAGCCUCUGCUGGUGCAGCCAACAUGGGAGUGGGGGCAAGGGGAAGAGGAAAAGCAAUAGCUCAGGGUGUGGUAAGAGUGCUCAAGGUGCUUCUCAGCUCAGGGCAUUGGUAAGAGUGGGUGGAAUUUACAUGUUAAGAACUUUCAUUAACCAAAUACCCAAAUGGUGA